rnacentral:lncRNA from 10 species
AUUUAUUUCGCAAACAUCUGCGUUGGGCCAUUGGGGAAUACCAAGAUGACUCAGCCACAGUUGAAGGAGGGCAGAUAUGAAAACAAAUCAUUAAAAUAAUGUAGUCAAAUGCUAAAUAAGGUUUGUACCAAAGGCUGUGGGAACACAAAGAAGGGAUCAUUAAUUUUGUCAGAGGCAGUCAAGGAAGACUUUGUAGAGAGUGACCUCUGAGUUGUACUUUAACAGCUGUGUUGGAAAGUUCAGGUGAGAGAGGAAAGGAACGGUGUUCAAGACAGAGGGAACAGCAGCCGCAAAGAUGUGGAAGCUUGAAGACCCCUGAAAACUUUGCUGAGUUUGGGCCACAGGUUACACGGGAGCAAAUGGGGCAGUGUGACAUCCAGGUGGAAAUACCCAAUAGAUGCCUUGGCAAAGUGAACCACGGGCUUCAGAGGAGUCAAGGCUAUAUCAAGGUCAACACCUCAUCCAGUGCUGUGCUGGGGGCAGCUCACACCAGCUCCAGGGAAGCAACUAUUAAAUAUUCUGAAAUUUUGCAAGCCAGUUGUUAACACAGCCAUUAAUAAAAAUUAAAUCAAAAGAAUUAAAUAAAUUAUAUUUUUGAAAAUGUAAUAAACUCU